GACGAAGGGGGCUAGCGUUGUUCGGAAUUACUGGGCGUAAAGCGCGUGUAGGCGGUUGCCCAAGUCGGGUGUGAAAGCCUUGAGCUCAACUCAAGAAAUGCACUCGGUACUGGGUGACUAGAGGACCGGAGAGGAUAGUGGAAUUCCCAGUGUAGUGGUGAAAUACGUAGAGAUUGGGAAGAACACCAGUGGCGAAGGCGGCUAUCUGGACGGUUUCUGGCGCUAAGACGCGAAAGCGUGGGGAGCAAACAGG
rnacentral:rRNA from 1 species